rnacentral:rRNA from 1 species
CCUACGGGUGGCAGCAGUGAGGAAUAUUGGUCAAUGGGCGAGAGCCUGAACCAGCCAAGUCGCGUGAAGGAUGAAGGAGCUAUGGUUUGUAAACUUCUUUUAUAUGGGGAUAAAGUGAGGGACGUGUUCCGUUUUGUAUGUACCCUAUGAAUAAGCAUCGGCUAACUCCGUGCCAGCAGCCGCGGUAAUACGGAGGAUGCGAGCGUUAUCCGGAUUUAUUGGGUUUAAAGGGUGCGUAGGUGGUUAAUUAAGUCAGCGGUGAAAGUUUGUGGCUCAACCAUAAAAGUGCCGUUGAAACUGGUUGCCUUGAGUACAGUGGAGGUAGGCGGAAUGCGUGGUGUAGCGGUGAAAUGCAUAGAUAUCACGCAGAACCCCGAUUGCGAAGGCAGCUUAC